rnacentral:rRNA from 1 species
GAUGAACGCUGGCGGCGUGCCUAAUACAUGCAAGUCGAGCGAACAGAUGAGGAGCUUGCUCCUCUGACGUUAGCGGCGGACGGGUGAGUAACACGUGGAUAACCUACCUAUAAGACUGGGAUAACUUCGGGAAACCGGAGCUAAUACCGGAUAAUAUAUUGAACCGCAUGGUUCAAUAGUGAAAGACGGUUUUGCUGUCACUUAUAGAUGGAUCCGCGCCGCAUUAGCUAGUUGGUAAGGUAACGGCUUACCAAGGCAACGAUGCGUAGCCGACCUGAGAGGGUGAUUGGACACAUGGGAACUGAGACACGGUCGAGACUCCUACGGGGAGCAGCAGUAGGGAAUCUUCCGCAAUGGACGAAAGCCUGACGGAGCAACGCCGCGUGAGUGAUGAAGGUCUUCGGAUGGUAAAACUCUGUUAUUAGGGAAGAACAAAUGUGUAAGUAACUAUGAACGUAUUGACGGUACCUAAUCAGAAAGCCACGGCUAACUACGUG